UCGAACGAUGAAGGGGAGCUUGCUCCCUGGAAUAGUGGCGAACGGGUGAGUAACACGUGAGCAACCUGCCCCUAACUCUGAGAUAACGCUUCGAAAGGAGUGCUAAUACUGGAUAUGAGCCUGGAAGACAUCUUCUGGGUUGGAAAGUUUUCGGUUAGGGAUGGGCUCGCGGCCUAUCAGCUUGUUGGUGAGGUAAAGGCUCACCAAGGCGACGACGGGUAUCCGGCCUGAGAGGGCGACCGGACACACUGGGACUGAGACACGGCCCAGACUCC
rnacentral:rRNA from 1 species